UACGUAGGGUGCAAGCGUUGUCCGGAAUUAUUGGGCGUAAAGAGCUCGUAGGCGGUGUGUCGCGUCGGCCGUGAAAACCUGCAGCUUAACUGUGGGCUUGCGGUCGAUACGGGCAUCACUGGAGUUCGGCAGGGGAGACUGGAAUUCCUGGUGUAGCGGUGAAAUGCGCAGAUAAUCAGGAGGAACACCGGUGGCGAAGGCGGGUCUCUGGGCCGAUACUGACGCUGAGGAGCGAAAGCGUGGGGAGCGAACGGAUAGAU
rnacentral:rRNA from 1 species